UACGUAGGAGGCAAGCGUUGUCCGGAAUCACUGGGCGUAAAGCGCGUGUAGGCGGAUCGCUAAGUCUGUGGUGAAAGCGCCUGGCUUAACCGGGCGAGGUCCAUGGAAACUAGCGGUCUGGAGGCCGGUAGAGGGGGGUGGAAUUCCGGGUGUAGUGGUGAAAUGCGUAGAGAUCCGGAGGAACACCAGCGGCGAAGGCGGCAUCCUGGACUGGUCCUGACACUCGUGAGCGAAAGCGUGGGGAGCGAUCCGG
rnacentral:rRNA from 1 species